GUAUUUGCGGGUGGAGCAUCAUCAAGAUUCACACAGCUUUUUAGGGUUUCAUAUAUGGCCCUUUUGUGUGAUGUGAGAAUCUUGAUGAUGCUGCAGCGGCAAUUAA
rnacentral:pre_miRNA from 1 species